GCCGGGAUGGCGAAACUGGUAGACGCACCAGACUCAAAAUCUGGCGGGAGCAAUCCCAUGAGGGUUCGAUUCCCCCUCCCGGCACCA
rnacentral:tRNA from 1 species